GCCUAUCCUUCUGCUCCAGUACCUUCGUCUGCAACGCAACCAGUAACUCUACCCUACAGUAUAUCCUGAAGAUGCUCUUCUCAUGUCCUCCAAUUUUCAGACACACGGUCUCUGCUCUUCUUUUCAAACUCACUUUCUCAUCUAAAUUUGUAACCCUAAUUCAAUUUCUUUACCUAAAAUCUCAACAAAAAAAACCCUAAAUUCCGAAAUUAUUCAUCAAAACCCAACCCUAUGACUUUAUUAUGUUUAAGUUCAUCCUUAUUUCGAAAGAUUCGCAGUGUAUCCAGCUUGAAUAUCAUCGAUUAACGUUUAAACAAAGAAUUAAGGUGUUCGAUUGUUUGAAUCUUGAAAGUUUGGAUUUUUUUAUACUGAAAUUGAUGGAAAUAGCUACUACAACGAAGUCGGAUGCUUACAUCAGCAAUUUGUAUUCAGUUGUGCGCGAUGAGAAUGGGAAUGUGAAGCUUGAUUGUCCAGCUAUUGGGAAACAGUUUUCUGCUGUUCAGCACAGUUGCAGUUGUCGGCAGCGGCCCCGCGGAUUUGUUUGCGUCUAUUGUACUUGCAGAAUUUGGCGAUGAUGUUACUUUGAUGGAAAGAGGGAACCCGUAGAGAUACGUGGGCGUGAUAUUGGUGCUUUGGUGAUCAGAAAAAUACUACAAUCAGAAAGCGACUUUUGUUUUGGCGAGGGUGGAGGAGGUACUUGGAGUGAUGGAAAGUUGGUAACUAGAAUCGGGAAGAACAACGGAAGUGUUUUUUCGGAUUCAAACGUGUCACCUAAUGAAGACGUCUUCUUGAGAAGAGCUAUGCCGACCCAAAUUACAAAAAAAGGUUUGUCCAAAUGAGCGAAACAGAGUAUACAAACAUAUAUGGUAGUGCCAUGUGACCAGGAGCACCUCAACGUGUCCUUGAAAUGCCUUUCUUCUUGGAAUGGAGAAAUCUAGCAAAUCAUGAAAACGAGCAGGGGCGGACCUAGCCUUAACCGGGGGUAACCUCCGCUACGGCUUGGCUCGGAAAAAUUUGACGUUUUUAGUGUAAAUUUUGGAAAAAUUUGAUGUUUUUUCGAUUUCGUUACGGCUUAUUUAUAAAACGUUACGGCUUGGCGUGAAUCCUAGAUCCGCCACUGAAAACGAGGCUAACUAACCAAUUAUUAAAGUUGAACGAUACAUGGAAUGCUCAACAUGGUGAUGUAUGCAGGCGAAAGUCAAUAUAUGGGUUAUGAAUUACGAAGAUCUUAAAUUUGUUAUCAUAUAGUGGGAGUUAUAUUCAAAAGUCAAAUGUUGGAUAAAGUCAAAAGAAUAUAAAGUCAAAUGCCCUUGAUAUUUAGAGUCAACAUCUUGGAGCAGAUCGAUAUGGGAAUAUAAUUCACAUUGAUAUCUGGAAACAGUUGUAAUAUGCUUUUAAAGUGAAAUUGAAUGUUUCUAGCAUGAAAGUUAUUAAAAGAGGCAAAAGUCAAAUGAUGUCAAAAGUCUUUGGUGGAAGUGUGGACUUGUGUUUGUGAUUUACUUUUUUUUUUUUUUUUUAACGGCAAAUUUGGAUCACCGACGGACCACUGGAGUAUCAUCGUGCCACCAGAGGAACCACCCGAUCAUAUCCAUCUCCACUAGGUAUAAUGCCACACCAAUUCAGGAGGAAACCCAAUAAACAUGGGAAAACCCCCUUGUGAUUUACUGAUUUGUAUCCUUGCCUUGUAUUUUUUUUUCUUACAAUAGUUGUUCCAGUAAUAGAGUGGGACUUGUAUUUUGAACA